AGCAUGCACGGAUCGCACUGCUCUAUCUGCCGCUGCUGAAGGUGCUGUUUGACAAUGUGCAGCGGCUCAAACUCAAGGACCUGACUUCCCUCAGCCUGACCUUCUCUAACGCCCAGAGUGCUCGAGAUGAGCUGCCCUUCAAUAUCUCGUCAACAAUCAACGGGUCCGCUGCCCGCAGAUCGGCCAUCUUCACCGACAAAGAGUUAACAUCCGCAGGUUACGUUACCUCGUUGGGAUUGCUGCUGAAACAUGAUGAUUCCCGCAGCUCCCUGAGCACAGAGACGGGCGCGGGCACACCGGAGAGAGCCG